GAUGAACGCUAGUGGCAGGCCUAAUACAUGCAAGUCGAACGGUCCGCUUCGGCGGAUAGUGGCGCACGGGUGCGUAACACGUAUGCAACCUACCUUACAUUGGGGGAUAGCCUUUCGAAAGGGAGAUUAAUACCGCAUAAGACAGUAGCUGGGCAUCCAGUAGCUGUUAAAGAUUUAUCGAUGUAAGCUGGGCAUGCGUCCAAUUAGUUAGUUGGUGAGGUAACGGCUCACCAAGACGAUGAUUGGUAGGGGAACUGAGAGGUCAAUCCCCCACACUGGCACUGAGAUACGGGCCAGACUCCUACGGGAGGCAGCAGUAGGGAAUAUUGGGCAAUGGACGCAAGUCUGACCCAGCCAUGCCGCGUGCAGGAAGAAGGCGUUCUGCGUUGUAAACUGCUUUUAUAUAGGAAGAAACGACCCUUGCGAGGGGCAUUGACGGUAUUAUAUGAAUAAGCACCGGCUAACUCCGUGCCAGCAGCCGCGGUAACAC
rnacentral:rRNA from 1 species